AUGGCGCCGACGGCCAAGGCUUCGUCCACCAAGCAGCACCGCCUGCUCCGCGCUCGCCGUUCUUCUUCAAAGCGCACGGCCGCUUUGAGCCCAGAGGCGCUGCUUGGUGCCACCCUCCCUGGCGUCCACCACCGCUUCGUGCCGGUGUUGCAGCAAGAUGACGCCGUCGCCACAGGUCCGACGCGAGAUGCUGCUCUCUCCGACGAGACCCUGGCGGUCCACGCCGGGGAGAAGAUGGGCGGCAUGGUGGGCACCGACUCGAUCGCAACGCCGAUCGUGAGCGGCACGACGCACUGGUUCAAGAGCUCCCGGAACCUCAUCGCGUUCAAGGAAGGCCGGCGCCACAGCUUCGAGUACGGCCGCUACAGCAACCCCACUGUGAAGGUCCUGGAGGACAAGAUCAGUGCGCUGGAGAGGGCCGAGUCGACGCUGGUCACGUCCUCCGGCAUGAACGCCAUCGUCGCCACGCUGCUCGCGCUCGUGCCGGCUGGCGCCGGCCACGUGGUGACCACGACCGAGUGCUACAGCGAGGCGCGCGCCUUCAUCCGCGACAAGCUCUCCAAGAUGGGCAUCAAGGUGACAUUCGUCGAGCUCAACGACAUGGGCACGCUCAAGGCCGUUCUUGACCAAGGCAAUGUGACACUCUUCUACACCGACUCUCCGACGAACCCUCAUCUCAAGUGCAUCGACAUUAAGCUCGUGGCGGAGCUUUGCCACAGAAAAGGGGCUCUUGUGUGCAUCGACAGCACCCUCGCCUCGCCCAUCAACCAGAAGCCGCUCACCCUCGGGGCCGACAUCGUCGUGCACUCCGCCACAAAGUACAUCGCCGGCCAUCACGACGUCAUGGCAGGAUGCAUUAGUGGCUCCAAGGACCUCAUCUCCAGGAUACGUGCGUGGCACCACGACCUUGGCGGCGCCAUAAGUCCGGACGCAGCCUACAUGAUCAUACGAGGCCUCAAGACGAUGGCACUACGCGUGGAGACGCAAAACCACACAGCUUUGCGCAUGGCACGCCUGCUCGAGAACCAUCCCAAGAUCGAGCAGGUGUACUACCCUGGGCUCUUGAGCAGCCCGUGGCACGACAUCGCCAAGCGCCAGAUGACGGGUUUCGGCGGCGUCAUCAGCUUCGAGGUGGCGUCGGAUCUUCACGGUGUCAUGAUGUUUGUCGACGCGCUAGAGAUACCAUUCAUCGCAACGUCGCUCGGCGGGUGUGAGAGUCUGGUGCAGCAGCCGGCUGUCAUGUCCUUCUGGGGGCAGAGUGGCGAGGAGAAGGCAAAGAAUGGGAUCAAGGACAACUUGGUGAGAUUUAGUUUUGGGAUUGAGAACUUUGAGGAUCUCAGGGAUGACAUUCUCCAAGCCCUCGAGAAGAUUUAG
rnacentral:rRNA from 1 species